GUUCCAUGCUGAGGCAGUAGUUUCCUGAACGUAAAGCUUAACAUUGUGCUGGUAGAAACCCUCUUGCCAUGCUUCUCUUUUGGCUGGCCUUAGUGUUUGGACACACCAGAGACCUAGUCUGGAUGGAAAUAAGUAUCUUUUUGGCUGGGUGAGUUCUGGCCUGGAUUAGUUUCCUGACCAGUAGCUGUAGUCUUGAAAGUGCUUAUGCUAACAUGAGGAGUAGUUGGGCUGAUGGAGGGAGUGGUUUAAAGGCAGGGAUGAUUUCUUUGCAGAGUUGGUAUUUUUGGAAAUGAGGCCUUACUCCUUCCCGGUAGAAAGGGGUUUUUUCUUCCGAAGUCGAGUGCCUUUGUGGAAUUUUGGGGGGUUUUUUGCUUCAUCUGCUUUGAAGGUUGAUUGUAGCACUUUUAGGGGUUGGUGUAUGAGAAUACUUGGAAUAUGAGUCCAAAUGAAUUAGGGGUAUGUGUAAAACAAUGAAACUUCUUAAAAUUUCAGCAUGAGGGUCACUUUAAAGUACUCACCUGGGUUUGAUUCUGUUUAUGUCUGCUCCAGCACUUACUAAUUCAGACUAACUUUUCUGUGAUUCAAAAGCAAGGAUGUCUUAAUUUAGGCUCUGGGAGUUUGUCUUGUCCACCACCCUUCUGCCAUAGGUGCUUUCAAAACUCUCCUGGAAUUUCCUGUCCCUGCUGUAGCAACAGUAAACUGCAUCUCUGUGUUUGACAGCCUGACAUUAAGUUAACUAGCACUGGCUUUAGUUUUCCUUCUGUGCAUCAGGGUGUGAUUUGUGAGGUGACUAAUAGUUAGUGCAUGGGUAGCUAUUGUCUGUGGGGUAGGACCCGAGUUACCAUUCCAGGGAUAAGCACUUCCUGCUCCUCCAAUUUGAAGCCUGAAUUCCCUUGUCCUGGUAGAGUAUCACUACUUAAUGAGUACUCUUGCAAAGAUAAAAGAAAUAGCUGUUCCCCAAAAGUCUAUUCUUGGAUACUUGUUAAUCUAGAUGAAGCCUUAGAGGAAAACAAAACCCAAAUACUUAUUAUGAAGUCUCUAGAAUGCCAUGAAACUUGUUGCACAGGUCUUUUUUCAGUUGUGGGAGUGGCUGGUGUUGCCAUUUUGAUAUCAUGCAACACUACAUCAGAUGGGCAAAGAAUCCUGUUGUGCUCAGACUUAUUUUGAAGAAACAUCAUCUUUUGCUGUUAGCAGUUUGCCAGUAGCCUAAAUGAAAGCCUAAAUUAAUGUGUGAUGGGAGAAAUGACCACAAAUACUUGUUGAUAAAACUUAAGAAUCUUUUCCAGUAUCUACCCAUGGUAUAACACUUCACUUUUUGGGGCAACGGAUUUUACAGGCUGUUUAACCUGAAAUAAUUUUUGAUUCUUAGUUUAAUACUUUUGGGUAUUCUGGUGGUCUUUCACGAGCUCCUUCAUCACUUCUACAUUAUGAAGACCUGUAAAAGGGAGGGACUGAUUAGUUUUAUGAUCUAACAUCAGCUGAAAAGAAAUUCCUCAGUGACUGCUUCUCUUAAAGUGUAAAUCUUUCUGUAUUCUACACCUGCUUAGAUUGCAUGUUUGUCCUUCUGAAAAGGACUGUUAGGUUAGCAAAACAUGAUGACUUCCUUACUAAAUUAAAAAGGGAGACUUCCUUUAAAAAAUAGUUGAUGAGAAUAUAUUUCAUUCAUAUUUCCCAGAUUUCAGUAGAGACUUCUCUGAAUGAAUAAAGACCUAGUGUCAUCUAGUGAGAGGCACUAGCAGUUAUUGAGCUAUUGGAAGAAAUAGUGAAAAAUUAAAAUCUGAAAGAAUGUUAGAUAGAAGGAGAAAUUAAGGAAGAAUGAACAGAUUUUAAGAAUAUUAACUAAUUUUGUCCCUAUUACCUUCGCAGUAGACCUUUAGUUCUCCAGAUCUAAAGGAAAAGCAAGGAAAAAACUAUUCUUCCAGAAAUAAGGCUGAAAUGCUUUCACCAAUCUGCUUUCUUCAUCAAGGCUUUCCUUGUCAGGUUACAGGAUAUCCCUAGUGACUUGAAUAUGUGGGAUUUGUUGUCAGUAGCUGCAGUGAUUUUUUUUUUUUUUAUCUUUUGUUCCACAAUGCAGGUUUCAAGCAGUUGACAUUAUUGUAUCUGCUUUUCUCUCCAUUGUAGACUGCAGCUUAUUACAGCAGAAUUAGCAGUAUUAGUUCUGGAAGAGCCAUGAUCUGGGGCUUUCUGCCACUGUCAGGUGCAAGGAUUAAGAGGGAGCUUGUUCAGCAAAAAGCCGAGGAAAGAUGUGGAAUUGAGUUUCCUCUGCUUGGCUGGGGGCCCCGGUUAUAUACUUUGUUUCCAUGUCUCACAUGAACUCCCUGAGUUCUUGAUCCAAAGUGAAAGGUCGGCUUUAUUCUGAGUAAUUGCAGAUCCCAGGUGUGUGCUCCUUGCUGACUGAAAAAUAGGAGUCAGUGCUGAAUGAAGCUUCUCAUUGCUUUGCAUCAUUUCAUGAGACAUGAUGAAAUUGGAAAGAACUCUGCUAGGAUCCCUAGGCAGGAGCAACAACCAGGAAGAUUGCUCCUGUAGGUUACAGGAGGAGCAGGGGAAAAAGAAAAGGGGAGGUAGAGAAAUGUCACAAGAUGCAUUUUAAUUCUAACACUGCACCAAGCUGGGUGGAGAAUGUUCUGUAGCCAGGGACAGGCUUGGCUGUGUCCUUGGGAGUUUGUAGGGGUCGAAGGUAAAGAUCACCUUUGAUAACAUCUGGGCCAAAGUAUGCUGCCUUCACAUGAGUGUAAGUAAAAGGUAACUUGGGUUCACAGGCAACAACUCAUUGAAUAAAAUAGGGAGGGGAGUAUGAUCACAGAUGAAUAUUAUGGAAUUCAAACAGUUGGCUUGCCCACAAACUCGUUGUAACCCAGAUGGUUGCAGUAUGCUUGAGAGAAAGUAAUUUCACUGUAGCGUGUCCUGCAUGGGAUGGUGCAGAGUGGAGUGACACGGCUCAGUGUAGCCAUCUAGCUCACGGAAUACUGAUGCUGUCGUUUGCUGUCAGCUUUAAGCUGGUACUGCAGCUUAAGGUGGCCCUGCUGCUCCCUUUCCUCUAUCCGAGCAUUUGUGUGAGGAAUUGGGUCAGGAACUGAAAGUGUUCUAACAGAAUUGUUUUUCUCUGCAUUAGUUUUCAGCUGGAAUUAGUUCUCGAUCAAGGUCAUUAUGGUGAAUUAUUCUGUCAGUGUGUAGGAAGGAAGAAGCUGAGAGCAGCUCUUUGGACAAUGAGUGCUGUGUUUACCUGUCUUACAGGGACCAUGAAAGUAUUACACAAGUUAAAAUCUGGUCUCCUGUCUUGUUUGUGAGGAAAAACUGGGUUCCUCUAGAUGUCAGUUUAGAUCCACUUAAAAGCUUUGAAUCACUCCCUGGAAGAAUGUGUUCUUGUCCUAUUUAGACCAACCUCCCAGCACAGACACCUUGGUUAGGUAAUCACCACCAACACUCUCUGUCUUCUCUGAUCCCUUCACAGGGUCAGUGCUCAAGGGAACCAUCCUUCUACAACUCUCUAUUUUCCAGUUGUAGCUGUCAUUCCCAUAGUUGAUUUAUGUAUUUCUUGGGGCUUAAUCUUGACAGGCCCCUUUUCAUGCAGAGAAAAAGCAUAAACAUUUAUUAACCUGUGAUGAAGUUUGCUUUUCUCUUCUAGGUUUCUUGCUUUUCUUUAUGCCCUCCAAGAUGCUGAAAUACUUCAGAAUAAUUAAUACUAGGUUAACGAGACUGCCCUUUUUUUCAUUUAAAGCUGCAAUAGAUGUCUGUCCAUUUUACUCUUCUUGUUUGUUUUCGGUACCAGUGUUGUAAGUGGCAAGGAGGAAAUGAGAAAACAGCUGGAGAUGGGCGUUGGAGUCAUAACCAGUGGAUAUGGAAUUGAUGGCAGUAGCCAAAUGAAAGCCUUGAGUUUUUACUGUGAGAAAAUUACUUAGUAAAAGAAACUUAGCUCAGUGUUUUAGUUUCUCCUAAACUGGUAGUAGAUCUUUCAUGUUUUGCAUAUGAAAGGCACAGCUGGCCUGUUUGGAUGGAUGUCUGUCUGUCUGCUUUAGAAUAAGUUACAUGUUAAUCUCUUAUCAUGGUAGUUCUGCUAGAGGAAGUGGAAGGGCUGCCUACCUGUUAAACUGCCUUAUUUUUGGCUGUGCUUAGCUGGGUGAUUUUUCAGAGAAAAGAUACAGCUGUUUCAUGGCAGGAAGAGAAUGGCCAAGCACUCCUGCAGUUACUCUGCAUCUGCUCAUGCCCUUAAAUACUUACACAGACAUGCAUGGACUGCAGGUAGGGGAGAAAAAAGUGUUGUCUGUAAAUCCUGUUGGGUAUAUUUUAUUUUUUUUUAAUCUUCCUCUUGCUUUAAGUUGCAUAUACCAUGCAUAACUGCAUACUCUUAGUUGAAGUCUUUGUUUAUUCCUCUAUUCAGCUUUCAAAGGUUCACAGGAAAUGCAGAAGAAACAUAAGUCUCCAAUGUUUUAACAUAAGGCUUUAUUUCCACUCCCACGUAAUUUUUAAUAAAUGGCUAAUCUAUAAGUGUCAAAGCCAUGUCAGUUUUUGAGUGGGAUCUGUAUGUGGAUUGACUUGAAUUCAAGGCCUGCAUAUGUUCCAAGGUGAUAGGGUUGUUUGCACUAAUGUAGCUGCUGAUACUUUUCAUUAUUUUAUGAAUGUCAAAAAUUUACUGACAGCAUUUGGCUUCAUUGUUUCUAUUGAAGUUUGGUUUUUUCCCUCAAGUUAAGUGCAUAUUACAGCACUAAAUGUACUACUUUUCAAUGGUGUUAGUGUCCCAACAGUUUUUAUUGAGACUGUGCCUUGUUUGGCAAAAAUAAAUAUUUUUGUAUUAUUUGGUACAUGAAACUUGAUGCAGUUCAGGGUUCAUUACUUUUAAAAUGGCUGAGAGGCAGACACAAAUGCCUCUUUGAUAGUAGCUUUAUUGUAAAUAACACCACUAAAAAAACAGGCACUGGCACUAAGCAUCCCUGUCUCUGGGUUUGUACUUUCUGCAUUGACAACUACAGCAAGUUGUUUUUAAUGCUUCUGCAAUUCCCUUCAAGUACCUAAAGGGGCUUCAAGAGAGCUGGAGAGGGACUUUGGACAAGGGCAUGGAGUGGCAGGACAAGGGGGAAUGGCUUCCCACUACCACAGUGCAGCAUUAGAUUGGACACUGGGAAGAAAGUGAGUAUAUCUGGGCUGAGACUCUCCUGUGCUGCAAUCAGUAGGACAAUUGGCACUAAAUGACUUUCUCUCAAGCAACCUUUUGAUUCCUCUCAUUGGAAUGAGGUAUCAGUUGUAUGAAAUCCACAGCACUUCUUAUUUCUGUUUGUUCCAGCUUUUUAGAUGGGCUGUCCAUCAGUUGUCUGAGCAAGCUUAGGUCUGUUGUUUGGACGUCACAGCUCCUUACCUGGCUAAUUGGAUUGUGCCAGUGCACUGAGCUGUUCCAUGACACAGUGUCUCUUGGUAGAGCCUGUUGAGUGAGCCUGUGUGGAAGGGUAUUAGUGGGAAUUGUGUUUUCAGAUCUUCUUUGGUCUUUUUUUGUCAUUCUCCUUAUUGUGGUAGCUCUUCUCUUUUGCUUUUUUUUUUUCCCCCCCAGUGUUUAUUUACUGCAUCUUUUAACCUGCUGCUUUGUUUUCCUUUUUAGAUUCAGUCAUUGAGCUGUUGGUGUAUGGUAGCAGUAACUGGUAGGAAGAGAGCUGGAGACAAAAGCCAGAAAUAAAAGGUUGAGAGAAACUCUGCAGUUUUUAUUCCUAGUGUUCUGCUAUAAUGGUCUUAGUUGUAGCAAAUGGCAUAUGUCUUCCAAUAAAUACAAAACUUUCACUUUGUGAAAAAGGAGAAUUAGGAUAAAGGAAAAAAAAUAAGUAAAAAUAGCAAAUUGUUCAAGACAGAGUGAUUGAGAAGUGACAUGGACAGACAGUGCAAAGCUCUCUGCAGCAGAGAUGGAGUCUUUCCAGAGAGCUUAUUUAAUAGAAAGCACCCAUACGUUUUCUUCUCAAAUUUAGGGUCCAUCCUGUGUCCCUGCCCUGCCGUUGGAGAAGUUUGAAAUUUGUAAAUCCACACUUUUCAGAAGAAAUCUUAUCAGUUUCCCAAUAUUUUUGAGCUGUCCAAGAUAUCAAGUGAGAUGACUCCUGUAUAUUUCUGUAAUUUUUAUAUGUUGUUAAUAUAACAUUUAGAAUAUUGUAACAUUUCCCCUGUGGCAAGAGUUUGGUUUAAAAACAGACAUUUUCAGAUCCUUUUACUUUGACUGAAAGGAACAGACUACAGUGGAUACCUUGAAAUAGGCAGGAGUAAAUGCUGAUCCCUGAGUGUUGGAGGCCAGGGAGUCUGGGUCAGGAUGCAGUGGCGGGCAGGGACAGAGAGUUGACAUGGAGCUGGCAGGGGUCAGGAUACAGUGGCGGGCAGGGACACUGUAAGUGGCGGGCAGGGAUGGAGGUGACACGGAGGUGGCAGGGUCGGUGUGCAGUGGUGGGCAGGGAUGGAGGUGACACGGAGGUGGCAGGGUUGGGGUGCAGUGGCGGGCAGGGAUGGAGGUGACAUGGAGGUGGCAGGGUUGGGGUGCAGUGGUGGGCAGGAAUGGAGGUGACACGGAGGUGGCAGGGUCGGUGUGCAGUGGUGGGCAGGGAUGGAGGUGACACGGAGGUGGCAGGGUUGGGGUGCAGUGGCGGGCA